rnacentral:ncRNA from 1 species
AUUAAGGCUAUGAUGAGAAGAGUAAAUAUGUAUUUUCUUUUACAGAGAGUCCUCAAUUGCUGAAAGAGGAUAAAGAAGGUCUUAUUGAACCAAGGCUCUGAGCCUCAUACCGAUCCUUAAUACACUUAAGGGGAGACUAUGACAGAUGCUCCUGAUAACGAGCUCGGGUAUAAGUAAUUAUUUUACCGUACCUUAAAGAUUGAAACUUUAAGUUUCAAUGAACUGGGGUGGCACCACGAAGUUAUGCUCUCGUCCCCAAG